rnacentral:rRNA from 1 species
UGGGGAAUCUUCCGCAAUGGGCGAAAGUCUGACGGAGCAACGCCGCGUGAGUGAUGACGGCCUUCGGGUUGUAAAGCUCUGUUAAUCGGGACGAAAGGCCUUCUUGCGAAUAGUGAGAAGGAUUGACGGUACCGGAAUAGAAAGCCACGGCUAACUACGUGCCAGCAGCCGCGGUAAUACGUAGGUGGCAAGCGUUGUCCGGAAUUAUUGGGCGUAAAGCGCGCGCAGGCGGAUAGGUCAGUCUGUCUUAAAAGUUCGGGGCUUAACCCCGUGAUGGGAUGGAAACUGCCAAUCUAGAGUAUCGGAGAGGAAAGUGGAAUUCCUAGUGUAGCGGUGAAAUGCAUAGAUAUUAGGAAGAACACCAGUGGCGAAGGCGACUUUCUGGACGAAAACUGACGCUGAGGCGCGAAAGCCAGGGGAGCGAACGGGAUUAGAUACCCCGGUAGUCCUGGCCGUAAACGAUGGGUACUAGGUGUAGGAGGUAUCGACCCCUUCUGUGCCGGAGUUAACGCAAUAAGUACCCCGCCUGGGGAGUACGACCGCAAGGUUG